GGCACGCUCCCCACUCCAACCCCCCUGCGGGCCGCGCGCCCGCCCACAGCGAGAGGCGCCCCGCGCUACGGAGCUCCCCGCCUCGCCGAAGGACGUGCCAGGGCCCGCGCCUCGGUACUGCGGGGACACAAAGGGGCCAAAGGAGGGGAGCGGCGGAGGCCGAGCUGGCGGGCACCCGCCCGGAAGUUGACGCGGCGCGAUCCCAGCUGAGAGGAAGCUGAUAGGAUCGAGAAACCAUGGGGAGGGAGGGCUGGGAGGUGGGGAGUGUGCUGCGGCAUCUCUCUGCAAGCGGCCUCGCUCGCCCUCUUUCUUUCCUCGGUACUUACAGUCCUGCAGGCUCGACGCGAUGUAACAAAGGUUGAAACAAAAAAUAAAUAAGGAAGAUAAUUCCCGGCGAGGGGCGACGGUAGCCGGGCCGGGACCUUCCAAAACACCACGGAGAGCACAGGCGAGCGCGCGGUGAUGACGCAACACGCAGCCUAGCCUUUUUUUUUUUUUUUUUUUUUUCUUCUCUCUCUCUUCCCCAGCGACGCGCGAGCGGAAGAUGCCUCGGCGCGCGCUGUUGCCAUGGUUACUCGUCCCCGCCUCUACGCCCGGGAAGCGCGCUUAGGGCCUGUUUCUCCAGGUUCGCGAGAGAGUGGUAACGCGGAACGGUAAUGCAACAGAACAAUAACAAGUGGUCAUUUAACUCACUUUUGAGAUGAGAAAAUUGAGAUUCAGAAAGAAAAUGACAUACCCAAGAUCACGUAUCUGCUACCCAGUCUAUGGAAUUUUGCUAUAGCAGCCUAAGCUGACUUAAGACACAGACACACAGAACAACAUGGAUGAACUUUGAGAACAUUGUGAUAUGUCUAGCCAGAAGUUGCUGAGGCUGAGGAAACAGUGGUUGCUGCCUGUGUUCUCCUCUCUGAAAAUGUGCAAGGAAUGAUUCCCAUCUUUUGGUACUGGUUGAGACCUGAUUUGUGACCCAGUAUGUGAUCUAUUCUGGAAAAUAGACCUGGAAAAUGUUUCAU